rnacentral:rRNA from 1 species
UACGAAGGGGGCUAGCGUUGUUCGGAAUAACUGGGCGUAAAGCGCACGUAGGCGGACACUUAAGUCAGAGGUGAAAUCCCAAGGCUCAACCUUGGAACUGCCUUUGAUACUGGGUGUCUUGAGGUCGAGAGAGGUGAGUGGAACUGCGAGUGUAGAGGUGAAAUUCGUAGAUAUUCGUCAAGAACACCAGUGGCGAAGGCGGCUCACUGGCUCGAUACUGACGCUGGAGGCAACGAAAGCGUGGGGAGCAAACAGG